UAUGUUGGCUAAUAUACGCGACGUUGGGCCAACCUUGGCUUAACGUUGGUCUAUAUCGUCUCCAUCUUUACUGAUAAAUAGUGCAUGUAUAUAUUGGUUGGCUAUAUGACGUUGGGCCAACGUAGCAAAUACGACCUAGUACCGCUACAUCCGGGUAAAAAAAAUGCAUGCGUGCGCAUGCCCAUGUGCUCAUGCAAAUGCAACGUACGUCAGCCAUAUCCUGUCCAUUUGUCUGGAUCAGUUGCCGGGGAGUACCAACACUGCAUGAUUCCUCUACCCGUUCAGAUCCAGCUACCCCUACCUCGAUCAUCCAGAACAGCAUCAACAGCACCAAGGACCCCUCGACAUCGACCCCAUCAACCUCCAGAACACUGUCGACCCCAACGACCCCAUUGACCUCAACAUUCAGAAAUAUGGAUGUCGAAGUUGUACCACCACAAGCUAGACAAGAUUUUGAUUCCGACUAACCCGUUCUUUAAAGGUCAAUUGCCUUAGGAAAUUAAAACUUUUAUGUCUUGUAUCAAGACCCUUUUAAAGCAACAUAAUAACAAUUGUUUCAUAAAUAAAUGCCUCCUUAUAUUUUUUACAAUUUUUUGAAAACCUCUCCAAGUUGCUCGUCUAAUGGUGGACCCCGCCCCUUACAAUUCUCAGAGUUCCUCGGAAUGAUUGACCAAAGGAUUAGUGAUGUUAUAUCAAGAACGAUCUCCGCUUAGGCAAGCUACGGUGCUUGCUAGCCAGCUCUGCAGGCAUUAUGUUUUGUACACAAACAUAAACAAUAACUUUUGUUAUUAAAUAGUGUGCUAUGCAUGUUUACUUGUUAUUUAUUGUGGUGAAAUUUCACUAAUUGCCCAAUUUUAAAAAGAGAGCUAUACCAUGAGUCGAAGAAGGUCGUAAUUGAUUUGAAUGCCUGUAUAACGUGUCAACUAAAUGCAUGCUAUAAAGAAUUUCAAAGGUAAGAAAAAAUGUUUCAUAUAUCUAAGUGACUGAAUGUUUUUCGUACUACCUUCUUCUCAAUUUAAAGAAAUAUUGAAAGUGGUAUAUCAGAGUGAAGAAACUUGUGUUUUUCCCUUUACAAGCUCUGCUCUUUCUUACUUCACUUUAAAAUUUCCUCUCUUGUUAUAUAAACAUUUAGCGAUUGCUUUACUUCACACAUUCAAGCAAUGUAUACUAUCCCUCCUAAAA